UGGAAAUGACAGGCACAGAAGGAACCAAUCUAACUCUUCCCUCUUCCUUUUCAGUGGCAGCCUGGCCUGGCAAAGGCUUAUAGUCUUUCCCCCGCUCUUCCAGAUUAUUUCUGAGCAUUAGCACCACGUUGAUGCUCUCAAAAAUCACACUGGCUGCUAUUCCCCUUGGACAGUGUCUCAGCCACCAACUCUAAAUGCCUUCAGAUGUUCAAGUCAGCAGAUCAAGCACCCUCCUCAUUGGCCAUGGUGUUGUCAGCUCGUCAGCAAGUGUUUACGGCAUGUCCCCUGGGUGCCAUCUCUGCGCCAGGUGCUCUGUGCUCCUGGCUUAUAUGUGUGAAGAAAACAGUUAAUUGACUGCUGGACGUGCUGUUCUGGAAGGGUUCUGAUGCUUUGCUAGAGAACCAGCCAGUAAGAUGGGGUCUCUCUAGAACGGUGUGGAUCCCCAGACACACAAGUACUCGGAUGUCCAAAAGGAAUGAAUUAACCUUAUUCUGAAGAUGGGAAAACUGAACAGCAGAGAUUAAAUACCUUUCUGGAUCAGUCAAAUUCUGGUUUGCAAGCUCAGAAGAUUACUUUGGCUGAUAAAGCAGAAACAGAAUACUGGAAGGCUUUGGGGAAGCUCACCGAGAACCAUGGCUAGGCCUCCAGAGUAUGCCUGCAUGUCUGCAGAACUGGUCCGAGGAGCAAAGCACCGCCACUCUUACAGAGCACUAGCUGCCAGGAUCAGGACCACUGCCAUUUUUGCGCAGGUACUCUUCAACUGCUCCUGCUGUUGCUGUAAGCACCACGCCUCUUUUGUGCCUGACAUUCCACUUUUCAGCUGUCAUGACUCCCACUACCCUCUGCCACUUCUUUCUUGUCUCAUCAGCUCCCAUGUAAAAAUUUGGCCAAGCGGUCUGAUCAGGAGAACACAAAUCUGGGCGGUAGCAGCAAGGGAGGCUAAGGAAGGAAGAAUUGGAAUUUUCAGCUUCUCUGAGAGGCUGUUUAGCUUCCUUCUCAGGGAGGAAAUUCCCCCUAAAUAGGAAGGGGUUCAGAUGCAGGCAGCCAAGCAAAAGUCACAUGCCCUUCAGAGCUGCCAAUUUGACACGGCCAGUGAAGGCUGGAGUUGGCACUCUCUUUCCAGAGCCCACUACUUCAUAGCCUUUCUUUCUAUCCAUCAAGUGAAAGGAGAUGCUUGCUUCUAAAAAUUCAUUGAACAAAGUAUUGAAUAUUUUUGUCAUGUCACUAAGUGAUGGGGUGCCAAGGUCAAAAGACACUGUCCUUUCCCUCAAGGUGAUAGCUUAUCAAGCCCUCAUCCUAUGGUCACGGGCAGCAAUGAUUGAUGACUAGUACAUUCAUUACCUUCUGUACCAGGUGCGUCGUAUCUGUUUUCUCUAGUCCCUGACAACAACCCUGCA